rnacentral:rRNA from 1 species
GAUGAACGCUGCCAGAAUGCUUAACACAUGCAAGUCAACUGUGGCGGACGGGUGAGUAACGCGUAAAGAACUUGCCUCACAGAUAGGGACAACAUUUGGAAACGAAUGCUAAUACCUGAUACUGUGAGAGAGCUUUGCGUCCCAUUAGCUAGUUGGAGAGGUAACGGCUCCACAAGGCGAUGAUGGGUAGCCGGCCUGAGAGGGUGAUCGGCCACAAGGGGACUGAGACACGGCCCUUACUCCUACGUGAGGCAGCAGUGGGGAUUAGUGGACAACGGACCAAAGUCUGAUCCAGCAAUUCUGUGUGCACGAUGAAGUUUUCGGAAUGUAAAGUACUUUCAGUUGGGAAGCGGUACCAACAGAAGAAGUGACGGCUAAAUACGUGCCAGCAGCCGCGGUAAUAC